rnacentral:snoRNA from 1 species
GACCUCCUGGUGCUUACCACAGGUCGUGUUCUUGCACUGACUGUAUAGAAAAAGGAGGCAGAGUGGGCCUACCCCGUAUACAUCUCAGCCCAGGCCUUGUGCCUAGUCUGAAUUGUGAAUGCGAGGACAUGG